UACGCUUUUCUGGCCCCCUCUUGGUGCUGUUUAUAUGUGUCGUUCAAAUAUGUAAUUGGAAAUUACACUGGGCAUUGGGAGUUCCAUCCGAGAAACAAAUACAAUCGAAGGCUAUCUAUCUCUCGCACUCUCUCUCUCCCCCCGGUUAUUGAUUAGCUUCCGCAUCCAACAAAGCGAGAGAGCUAGAGAGACUUUGAAAUUUGAUGGCGAUGUUUCGCGGGAAAAGUGGAAUGUUUGUUUUCGGGCUAUUUGUUUUGUUAAUUUUGGUUCACGCGAGAACAUGCGUGUCCGUCAGAUCUGACCAGGAGAUCCGGGAAAGGUUUUACGGCAAUCUGUUGAAUUCGUCGGGGCCAGAUACAGGUGAAGGGAGUAUAGCCAAGAUGUUCGAUCGCGUUCUCGAGAAAGAGUUUUCCGAGAAGGAUCAGCCCGAAGGAUCUGAUGCAAGUAGCUUCAACAGCAGCGUAGCUGAUCAAGAAGCUGUGUUGGAGACUGUAGUUAAAAUCACUCAUGAGAAGUCUAAGAGAAACGACACGCAUGAGGGAAAGAAUGGCACCAGAGCUUUCCAGUUGCAAGAUGUUUUUUCAGUGGAAAAUGAAGAUUCUGAAGACAUGGCAACUCUGAUUGACAAAAAGGACAAUGUGUUUGUGAUGUCAAACAAGAAAUCUAAGUAUCCAGUGCUUCAAGUAGAUUUCAGAUUAAUAUCGGACUUGGUGGUUGUCAUUGUUUCUGCAGCCAUUGGUGGAAUUAUUUUUUCAUGUUUGGGACAGCCGGUAAUAGUUGGCUAUCUUCUUGCGGGUUCCAUUAUUGGACCAGGGGGCCUGAAAUUCAUAAGUGAAAUGGUUCAGGUUGAAACUUUUGCACAGUUUGGUGUUGUUUUUCUUCUUUUUGCUUUGGGACUAGAGUUUUCUUUGACAAAGUUAAAAGUUGUGGGACCUGUUGCUGUUCUAGGAGGGCUACUUCAAAUUGUAACAUUUAUGUGUUUGUGUGGCAUAAUGUCUGUGUUAUGUGGAGCAAAGUUGCCUGAGGGUGUAUUUGUUGGUUCCUUCUUGUCAAUGUCAUCAACAGCAGUGGUGGUAAAAUUUUUAGUGGAACGGAAUAGUAGCAAUUCUAUACAUGGUCAAGUCACAAUAGGGACACUUAUUUUCCAGGAUUGUGCUGUUGGUUUAUUGUUUGCUUUGCUCCCUGUCCUGGGUGGUAAUAGCGGUCUAUUGCAAGGAAUGAUUUCAAUGGGCAAGUUGAUGCUGGUGUUGUCCAUAUAUCUUACUGUUGCAUCUAUAUUGGCUUGGUCAUUUGUUCCUCGGUUUUUAAAGCUAAUGAUACAGUUAUCAUCUCAAACGAAUGAACUUUAUCAGCUUGCCUCUGUGGCCUUCUGCUUAUUAUCUGCUUGGUGCAGUGAUAAGCUGGGCCUCAGUCUUGAGCUGGGUUCCUUUGUGGCUGGGGUUAUGAUAUCUACCACCGACUUUGCGCAGCAUACUUUAGACCAGGUAGAACCGAUCCGUAACCUCUUUGCAGCACUCUUCCUUUCGGGGAUUGGGAUGCUCAUACACGUUCAUUUUCUCUGGAACCAUGUGGAUAUAUUGCUUGCAUCUGUCAUCCUGGUUAUAGUAGUUAAAACAGCGGUGGCUGCUGUGGUUAUUAAGGCCUUUGGAUAUAGCCUUAGAACAUCAUUCCAUGUGGGAGUAUUACUUGCACAAAUUGGAGAAUUUGCUUUUGUUCUCCUCAGCCGUGCCUCCAAUCUUCAUCUUGUUGAGGGAAAGAUGUAUCUUCUUCUUCUUGGCACAACAGCUCUUAGUCUGGUAACAACUCCUCUUUUGUUCAAGUUGAUACCUAACGUGAUGAAUUUGGGUGUACUUCUGCGUUGGUUCCCAGCAGAAAGCAGUAGCGUACAGAAUGAGUAUGGAUUCUCUUCAAAACAAUAUUGACCAUGAAGAUGAAAACUUGUUUAGACAUUCUAUUUAUCUGUGUGGCCUGUCAUCCCUUUGCAUAUACUGAAGGAGAGAGCUUCCAUGAUUGAAGUGCACAACAGAUUAUGGUGACCUUCCAUUUCUCUCAGUCUGUUUAUUGUUGAAGGAGCACUGUUAAGUUCACGAAGAAUUGCAUCAGAAUUUUUGUUCCGCUUGCGGCUCCACCGUCUAGGUUUCAGAUUACAUAACAAUCAAUUUCAUCAAUACUCAGCUCCUAGUAUGUACAUAAAUAUAAAUUAUCAUUAGUUCAUAUUCUUUGAAUAUUGUGUAUAUAACUUGUGUUUUGGCCCAUUUUCUGCCCAUACUAAUCUGUUUUGUAUUUUUGUAACCUCUUGAUACUGGGAUGCUGUUACAUGAAAUUUUGACCAUGUGAUUAAGUCAAGUUAGUUGUUCCAUGGAA